GCUGGCUGCUACUCAAAGACACCUCCCAAGACCAGUGGUCCAUAGGCUGAUUGACUCCCAUCUUCAGCUUCCUGGCCUCCAUGAUGUGAGCAGCUUUCCUCCACCAGACCAUUCUGCUAUGCCCUUCCUGCCAGUUGAUGAUGCACUGAAUCCUCUAAAACCUGUGGACCAAAAUAAGCCUCUCUGUCUUCAAGUCAUACGAGUCAGCAGCUCAAUAAUGAAUGACUUUUGGGAGAACACUACUUCACUUUCCAUGGGGAGCCUCACAGGACUUCGCAGAGUAGGAGAUUCUAAGAUGUCAGUGCUUCCUAUAUAGAGAGAUUUUGUACCUACUGAUCAUCAUCCAGAUGAAAUCCACCCCCGUUUCCAAGGAGAAACUGCCGCACAUGACGGGUGACACCUGUGCUUCUUCAGGAGCUGGGCUGUGGUGAGAAACAUCUGACAGCAUUCUUGGUCCAGCUGGUUGGGGCUGCCAGAGGAUGGACUGUACCAGGCUGUUCGAUUUCUAUCAGUACGAAGGUGAAGCCUGUUCACGCUCACAAGGCCGAGCAGAGUUGGCGGUAGAGGAAGAGACCUUUGUGGUCAAGAGCUAGGACCUUAGACUUGAAGAUUAAGCUGACUUUCAGACAAGGAAAGAGCCGUUCCGGUCAGGUCCAAGAGGGCUUCUGGAGAGCACAGAGGAAAGCUCGUCCCACCCCCGCAGAAAAGUCCUCUGAAGCCAGGGCCGCCUCGGUAAGUUGUUUCCAUCCCAGGCUAAACGAGAGGCUCAGGGUCGUAACCCUCCUGGCCAGCGCCCCCCUGCCAGGCUGCGUCCCUGGCAAACGCUCCCUCUGGGCCAGUUUUGCUUCAUCCCGGAGAGAGGAAGUCCAAAGAUCCCGGAGCGGAAGGCGCUCUCCCUGUGCCCAGUAGAAAGAGGACGAGGGCUCAUCCCGCUGCUGUGCAAGGCGGGGAUCCCGAGCGGACCGCUCCUCCCAGCGGUGCGGUUGGGACCCGCAGGUGGGCAGCGCUGAGCCAGAAAGCAGAGCCAGGCUGAGACCAAAACCGAGCCGGC